rnacentral:tRNA from 1 species
GGUAGAAUGGCUGAGUCUAGGCGGUAAAUUGUAAAUUUAUUAACGAAAUUGUUUUUCUUCUACCA